GUCUGGUUGAGGCCCUGCCUGUCUCCUAGGCCCCCCGGGGCCCCCUGGGGCAGGCCGUGUCCCUGAACUCAGCCCAGAUGCCCCAGGCACAGGUGCUGCCAGAUGCUUUGCUGGGGGCUUUGUACAGGUGCCGCUGGGACCGCAUGUGAGGCGCCUGGCACGCCACGAGGCUGGCGUCUCUCAGAAUAGGCAGGAAACAGAUGGCCCGCUUAUGGGAGAAAAGAGGCUUGUUCAUGAAAAGAGCAUUUUCGGAGGUGCUGCCAGGGUUGAGGGAAACCACCAGAGCCGCCGCAGCAUCAGUGGACCUGUGAGGGCGGCAGCUGUGACCACCCCCAGGCCGAAGGGGUCUGGGAAGGAUGCUUGUUACCGAGCGAGGGCCAGGGCCUCAGGCCUCAUGGCAGCUCCUCUCCUCACAGGGGGUGAAGGAGAAAACGUAGCCCUCCCCACACGCUUUCCUCCGUAUGACGUCCUCUACUCUUCCUGCUUGGCCGAAAGUUCCGGCCGGAAGCUAGAGGGUGAGGGAGUCAGGUGGGCAAAGUCACCCACCCGCUGGGCAGCUCCCUGGGGCAGAGCGUGGGGUGGAAAGAACGGGGGUUCCUGUCUCGGAUAAGAGGGUACCUGGGGGGAGCAAAUAGCCGGUCAUUACCCCCCAAACGGGAGACAUUUGACAACGUUAAUGUGGUGGUGGUGAAGGUGACGAUGGAGGACGCGGAGGUUGUGCCAACGGCGGUGAUGAUGACGUUCCCAGCGCUGGAGACGAGCAUCCCCCACGGACGUUGUUGCGGACCCGAUCCAAGUCUGCUCGUUCCCGGGAAACCCCGCACCGGGGUCUGCCCACUCGACCGCCUCGCCGGAUCACCCCUGGAUCACGCACCACCCUCCCACUGGGUUCCCUGCCGCCCCCGCCACCAUCUGUCUUCCACGCGGCAGCCGACGGAGCCUGAGAACACGCGCCGAGGGGUCUCCCCUCCGCUCACAGCCCCCGCGCGCGGCCUCACCGCACCAGCCUGAGCGGAAGUGCGACCACGGGCCCCAGGCCGCCCCGCUCUGCCUGCCCUGCUUUUUCCACAGCACUUAGCGCCUUUUAAUCUACUACUUCAGGCCUGUGUUCUCUUUUUUGCUUUUUUCCUGUCGUCCCACACGCGGGCACUAAUUCCAUACAGGCCCGGGUCUGUCUGUUUUGCUCGCCGACAUAUGAUGAGGGGGAGGAGAGGACGCAGCGCCUGGCCCAGGCCCGGCCCAUGGGAGGUGCUUAGUAAAUAUUUGCUAAGUGAAUGAAUGCACGGAAUGCAUUUCUAUUUCCAGCCCCAGCCAGGCCCCUGGCAACCCAGAAAGCAGACAGCGCUGCAAAGAAGAAAGCCCCAGCUCUCAGGGUUUGAGGACGGUUUCCGUUUGAAGGGCUGGCUGAGAAAUAGGUUUUUCCCUCCUCGGAUCUCAGAUCUCCCAGCACCUCCUGCUGCCAGGUUUCCCCGAGCAGCUGAGCGGACAGGCUGGGGGAGGGGAGGGGGCUCCGGGGUGGGGGCGGAGCACGGAGGCCGCAGGCUGUCCCUGCAGCUGUUCCCGGGGCAAAUGCCUGGAAUUCUGGGAUCAUUCCCACCGGCCAGGCCAAGCCCGGGCCAGCCGAGGGCUGACCCCCUCCAAGCCAGGAGGGCCUGCCUGCCACUGCCUUCCGUGUUCUCCCGAGAGAGCCGUGGGCCUCGUCCCGGACCCCGAAGGCCAACCUCGUGGGAGUGACGGGCCCGAGUGUGCCCCCUCCCAGCCCUCCCGGGGGAGUCGCAGCUCAGCCUGGCCUGUUCACUGUCACACGCCGGAUGGCCCGGGCCCGCUCCACAAGUCACAAGGCAGAUUUUCCAUUAGCGUCAAACGGAUCCUGACCUGCAACUGAUGGACCCUCCGCAAAGUGAGGGACACGACCCGGAUGCUACGAGACGGGAGGAUGCGUGAUUUGCCUGGUUGCAAGUGCCUACUGGCUGCUUCUGCGCCCCACACGUUUGUGGAGCACCUACUGUGUCCCUAGCACUGUGACCUCUGGGUGACCCCCGCCCCGCCAGGCAUGAGAAAGUCGGGGUGCUCCCGACAUGAGGUGUAAGGGUCCCGAGGGGCACUAUCAGCUGGGAGUGGAGGCAGGAAAUCUCUCCCCGGACUGCCAGGCACUGGUGCUUUCAACUUCCCAGAUACAAUUUCCUCUUCGUCUUGGGAACAAAAUCCCUUUGCUUCCCUUUAUCAAAACUUCCUUGCCCAAGCUUUACCCUCAUGAUGGCUUCUGUUGCUGGCUUACAGCCUCGCCAUCCCCAGGGUGGUCACAUGGGCUGGCCGCAGUCACGCGACCCAAGGCCAGCCAAAGAGAGAAAUGCACGCCCCCACCCCCAGAAACCAAUUAAGGGACGCCCGUGGUGACCCAAGUCCAAACAAUCAAAAUGACGCUCAGGGUUUUGCUGGAAUGGUGAAGGCAGAAUGACCCUGGUCCUCCAAGUGGGGAGUCCUGAGGACCCCUUAGGCCUAGAGCUCUGGGGCCACCUUCGCCCGAGAGCAAAGCCAAGUGAAAUCAAGGUGAGAGUCUGAGUAAGAUGCUGCCCGGUGGCGUCUUUGAGCUGCGGCCACGCCUAAAAGUUAGCUGCCUUCUACACUCUCCUGUCGAGUGAACCAGAAAACUCUUCGUUCCUGAAACGAGCUUCGCUUGGGGCCCGUCCCUUGUAACCAAAGGAAUCCUCUGUGCAACUGAACAGUAUAAUUCUCAAUGUAUGGAAACGGGGUUCUCUAGACGCGUACGGGGAGCAAAGCAACGCACCUGCCACAUCUCCCCGAGGGUCAGGCCGGUGGGCCAGCAACGGGUCCGGGGAGGGCCCGCAGAGCAUACAGCAGGCAGCACAGAGCAGCAAAG